UACGAAGGGGGCUAGCGUUGCUCGGAAUUACUGGGCGUAAAGAGCUCGUAGGCGGUUCGUCACGUCGGCUGUGAAAUCCCGAGGCUCAACCUCGGGUCUGCAGUCGAUACGGGCGGACUUGAGUACUGCAGGGGAGACUGGAAUUCCUGGUGUAGCGGUGAAAUGCGCAGAUAUCAGGAGGAACACCGGUGGCGAAGGCGGGUCUCUGGGCAGUAACUGACGCUGAGGAGCGAAAGCGUGGGGAGCGAACAGG
rnacentral:rRNA from 1 species